GUAAACAUGUCAGUGAAAGAAAUGAAUAAUGUGGUAGGGAGGAAAUUGUUUGCAGGAAAAUAAUUACCUGCAUGUGGACUAGAUAUCAAAGGAGGGCAAAGUGACAGGAACGAGGGCGACUGAUAGGCUGCAGCAAAAUGUACCUGCAGGGAAAGUUGAGCCAGCAGGGCAGGCCGAGUGGGGAAAUGAGCCCUGGAAACUUUGGAAAUAACAACUGGGUCAUCACCCAACACCACGGCUGCCUCGGAGCCGGGAGAGAGCAAGGUGUUGCUGAGGAGGACAAUUUGAAAGGAAAUGAGGCUAAAAUUAGGAACAGAAGAAUCUUAAGGUACUGAAGAUAUUGACUUACCAGCCGCAGAGCUUUCUGCAACCACCUGUAGGCUGGAAAAAAAAAAAGCUCUGCAGACAGUUUCAACAGAAACCGAGCACAUGCAACUGUUCCUGGAACCAGCAGUCGUGUUUGGGGGAGAAGAAAACCCUCGCUGCGAAGCAAAGAAGUUUUAAGCUGCUACCAGCUCGUGGUUUGAGGACUCGUAGCAGGAUGGAGACUUCCCUGGUACUGCUGGAGGAGCAGCAGCUCAGGCUGCCAGGAGGAGCUGGAAACAUUCCCAGUUUAAUUCUACAGCAAUAAGCACGAAUCCUGCCGCAACAAAUACCUGUGAUUUUAUCACUUGUGCGCUUGCUACAUCGAUACAGCUAAAGAGGAGCCGAAUUUUACCCGUGCUAUAUUGACACAUUUUUCUUUGACACCAGAUCUGGUUUCAUAAGGCAGGAAAGGUUUGCCCCAAGUUUCCAAGUCCUGGACCAACAGUGUUUGGUAGAAAGAGGUAAGAAUUCUCAGACCCCAUCAGGAUCCUGAAGGAAGCACAGGGAAGCCUUGCACGAGGGCUGCUGGCCAAGGAGAAGGAACGCAGGUGCUGAGAGGAGGCUCACAGUGGGUUAUCCCCUGCCCACGAGGGUUUUUCCUUGUUAUAGAGAGCUCUCAGCUCAGUUUGCUAUUCAUUCGGAGAGCUCCGGACUGCAGCAUCUGCUGUUUUCGUCAUGUGAUGGCAGCAAAGCGUUACCCAAAGCACUCUUCCUUCCCACUUAAAGGAAAGAGCCAAAAACCUGUGUGAAAAUCAGGUUAUUUUCAGGAAGAUGGGGCGUUUACUUUCUCCUCUAGGUUUAGAGGGGCUAAAGAGCAGUGAAGAAAGCAACCUGGAAACCUUUAUCCUUCAAAACCAAUCAGCCUGCUGCACUUCGGUUCCUUGCAUGGACGUUUUAAUGGAGCAUUUUGAUGGAUGAGGAAAUAAUCCUUUACGUGGCAUUUUCAGACGUCUUGUAGCUUGGGUCAGUAACUUCUGUGCCAAUAAUUCUGGGCUUAUUUCAGACGGAGAGAAAGCUGGCAAUCCAUGUCCUCGGCAGCUCUAAGCAACGCACAGCUCACUGUGCAUCGUACUCCAGUACAAGGGAGUGAAGCGGUGAAGCAAAGUGGAGCAGUGGUAAAGGUAAUUACUAUCCCAAAUCAUCAGCUGUGGAAGAAAGCCUCCAACUCAGGCUGCACGAUCCCAGCAGCAGCACUAGCCUGGGGACAAGUGGGAAUGUCGUCUCCGUUGGCGAAGUCAACCUGUCAUCCCUGCUCCAGUGUCACCUAUUUUCCACUUCAUCAGGGAACCAGGGCGCCUUGCUCACAGCUGUAGGGUGUCUGGAGCACAUUCUUGGACAUCCGUAACUGAAUUAAUGCAAAUAAAUCAAGCAUAAAUAAUCAUCUGGGGGAGAUGGAGACCUUCCACUGCUGAGAUUCUCUUAGGACAAACUUGCAUGCGUGAACCAAGCAAAGGGACAGCCCAGACUUUGAUCUCUCGUGCACUGGUGUAAAUCUGGAGUGAAAACCAGAUGAGGAUGCUGCUGACACUGCCACCAGCGUGAUGCUGAAACCUGGUCCUUGGCCUCUGUGCAGGUCCAUCGCUACCACACCAAGAGGUCACCCCAAAGGGAAGCCCUCCGAAGAGAUGGCAGCUGCGUACCAGGGAAGUUUGGGUAGACACAAAGAGGCCUGGCAUCUUUAGAAAGACGGUCACUUUUUUUUUCCAGCCUUACUUAGGAACCCCCAGGUCCCAAAUCACCUUCGUUUCCAGCCCUGGGGUCCUCACCGGGGUGGGACGGCGGCUCUCACUGGUAGUGCAGCAGCUCUUCCCAGCGGAUGGGCUGGGAGAACACCUCCCGCUCCAGCCACAGCUCGUAGGAGCAGUGGAAAUCCUCGGGGAGCUCCAACCUCUGGCCCAACACGCUCUGCAGGCAGUUGUCCACCGGCGCAAACUCCGAGUCCUGGGGCUUGUCGUACCUCCGGCUGUUGAAGGCUUCGAUGUUGGCUCUCAGGGUGCACUCUUCAGCCUGGAAGUCCCACGGUCUGGCAUCGAUAUCUAGGUUCAAGAAGAAACAAGACCAUGGUGGUGUCGUGGAGAAAAUGACUCUGGUAUGGCUUGAGCAAAAGAAAGGAUGGAGAAUUUACAGCAGUCGUGUGCCUGAACUAAAAACAGUAUUAUAUUAGCCAGUUGGUUAUUCCUAAUUCUACGGUAAUUAUUAUUCACAACCAGUUGCUGCUAUGCAUGCAUUUAUUUUAAGGUAUUUAAAUGAAAUAUAUUAAAAUCACUUGUAAAUUCAGCAGAGUCUGAAAACUUCAUACAGAAAUGCAUUUAUUUCUGGCCUUCAGCAUGCUUUAAGGACUCCGUCCCAUUACAAAGCUCCUGCUUUUUUUGGAAAGGCCCCACCACUUUUACCAAAAACCUCCACGGAUGUCUUGAGACAGAGAUCAAGACUGAAAGCUUAUAGCUAAAACCUCACAAAUUUAUUCAAAGCUACUGAAAACAAAGGCUUUUAAAUCUGGGGCGAGGUUGGGAAGCUAGCAGCUGACUAAUAACCACAAUAUUUUAAAUGUGUAUUAUUACGUAAAUAUGUAACAUUUCCAAAAAAUUAGCAUUUCAAAAUUUGGUCUUUACGAGCUCUAAACCUAUAUGAACCAGCCAGUCGCUCCACAAAGGGUCAGCAAACUCAUUGGCAAGGUCUCAGCAGUGCUGAGGAGAGGGAGAAGUCCAAGCUGCGUCUCAAUCCAGAUACACCAAGCUAAAAAUAAACCCUCGGGGAAAAACCCUUCCGGAUCUCAUCUCGGAAAGCCAAGUGCUGGCACGGCAAGGCGGCCAGGUCAAGAAGCAGCCCCUGCUGAGUACUGAAUUAUGCGAUCGCGGGCAUAAAGAAGCCCUGCUGCUGCCUUCAGCCCUGCAGGGAAGAUGAGUGAGCUGAGCAAGGCAGCGAGGCGAGAGAAAUCCCCGUGAAGGAAAGGGAGUCCCCAGCCUUCCCCAGCCCUCCGGCUCUUUGGGCAUCUGGGGAACUCCAGCCUUAAAAUUAAAAAUAGCGAGUCUAGUUUUGAUUCUUCCGAAUCGGUGGCACAGCGGUAUCACAGCUCUCCAAAGCACACCCGUCUUUGAAAAACAAAUUAUAUCUUUCACAGUGGAAAUUAACACCCUAAUUAUAAUGCCUCUCUCCCCUGGAAGGAAGGCUUUGUGUUAGGCUUUCACUUCUUGCCCUUUCUCCUUUUGAAACAGGGAUGCUACCCAGUUUUUCUGUUUAAUCCUCUUU